CAGUCGCCACGGUAAUACCGAGGAUGCAAGCGUUAUCCGGAAUGAUUGGGCGUAAAGCGUCUGUAGGUGGCCUUUCAAGUCCGCCGUCAAAUCUCAGGGCUCAACCCUGGACAGGCGGUGGAAACUACCAAGCUGGAGUACGGUAGGGGCAGAGGGAAUUUCCGGUGGAGCGGUGAAAUGUGUUGAGAUCGAAAAGAACACCAACGGUGAAAACACUCUGCUGGGCCGACACUGAAACUGAAGACGAAAGCUAGGGGAGAAAAUGGGAUUAGAGACCCGCGUAGUCCCUGUCUCUUAUACA
rnacentral:rRNA from 1 species